GAUGAACGCUGGCGGCGUGCCUAAUACAUGCAAGUCGAGCGAACGGACGAGAAGCUUGCUUCUCUGAUGUUAGCGGCGGACGGGUGAGUAACACGUGGAUAACCUACCUAUAAGACUGGGAUAACUUCGGGAAACCGGAGCUAAUACCGGAUAAUAUUAUGAACCGCAUGGUUCAAAAGUGAAAGACGGUCUUGCUGUCACUUAUAGAUGGACCCGCGCUGCAUUAGCUAGUUGGUAAGGUAACGGCUUACCAAGGCAACGAUGCAUAGCCGACCUGAGAGGGUGAUCGGCCACACUGGAACUGAGACACGGUCCAGACUCCUACGGGAGGCAGCAGUAGGGAAUCUUCCGCAAUGGGCGAAAGCCUGACGGAGCAACGCCGCGUGAGUGAUGAAGGUCUUCGGAUCGUAAAACUCUGUUAUUAGGGAAGAACAUAUGUGUAAGUAACUGUGCACAUCUUGACGGUACCUAAUCAGAAAGCCACGGCUAACUACGUG
rnacentral:rRNA from 1 species